AUCUGUUUUUAUCAGGUUAAUAUCUGAUAGGUCCUCUAGCUGAGGACAACAUAUUAAAUGUAUUUUUGCAAGUAGGACUUGGACUAGGAACUUGAUACAGCCACCCCACACAUCGACCUGGUAUUGCAGUACUUCCUGGAAUGGUGC
rnacentral:snRNA from 1 species